rnacentral:lncRNA from 1 species
CAUCCAAGGGCUGGGUCGUGAUCUGGCCUCCGUCCACUGGAAAUUAAAGCCUCUGCCAGGAGUCCAUGUCAUCCACAAAAAGAGCAAUUUUCUUCUAUUUUGGUGUCACCUGGUCCCACCCUUGACACAUGGAGAUUAUGGGGAUUAUAAUUCAAGGUGAGAUUUGGAUGAGGACACAGAGCCACACCAUAUCAGGCAUCAUCGCUCUCACCAUCAUCAUCGCCAUCAUCAAAACCAGCAUCAUCACCAUCACCACCAUNNNNNNNNNAUCAACACCAUCAUCAUCACCAUUACUGUCAUCAUCACCAUCACUAUUAUCAUCAGCAUCAUUAUCAUUAUCAUCAUCACCAUUACCACCAUCACCAUCAUGAUCAACAUUACCCUCAUCCUCAUCAUUACCACCAUCAACACCAUCAUCACCAUCAUCAACACCAUCAUCAUCACCAUCAUCCUUAUCUUCAUCAUUGUCACAAUUACUGCCAUCACCAUCACCACUAUCUUCACCAUCACCAUCAUCAUCAU